rnacentral:lncRNA from 1 species
GGAAGAUACCUCUCUUGGAACAAUAGCAGCAAGCCACAUUCUUUGUACACUGAGAGAGAUUCCAUGGAACUAUCUGGACAUAGUGUGUGAUUUUUACACAGUUCACUUUAGAACUCUUUGCAGGAUUAAUAUAAGCACAGCGUUCCUGACUCAGAAGAACAUAGCCUUCAUCCAGUAGCUGAUGGAAGCAGAAGCAGAGAUCCACAGCUAAGCACUGAGCCGAACUCCUAGAGUCCAUGAAGGAGUGAUGAGCAAAGGGGUCAAGACCAUGCUAGAUGACCUGAGCAAGUGGCAGCUCAUGGACCCCAGCCAGACAGCUGAGGAACCAGCAUCGGACUAAACCAGGCCUCCUGAACUUGGGUGACAGUUAGGAGGCCUGGGCAGUCCAUGGGGCCUCUUGCAGUGGAACCAGUAUUCAUUCCUAGUGCACGAAUGGACUUUGGGAGCCCAUUCCUCCACGGAGGGAUACUCUCUCAGCCUAAAUACACAGGGGAGGGUCUAGGCCCCGCCCAAAAUGAUGUGACAGUCUUUGAAGAUUCCCCAAUGGAAGGCCUCACUCUUUCUGGAGCGUGGAUAGGGAGUGGGAUGGGGC